ensembl:lncRNA
GGCAAAGGCAGGGGACACCUGGACAGGUCACCAGCUUAUUGCAGGGCUACAUAUAGAGACAAACAAUCACACUCACAUUCACACCUACGGACAAUUUAGAAUCAUCAAUCAACCUCAGCAUGGACUUUGGAAGGAAGCCGGAGUACCCAGAGAAAAUCCACGAGAACAUACAAACUCCAUGCAGAAAGAUCCCGGCCUUCCCGGAACGUGAACCACGGAUUCUUCUAGCUGCAAGGUAAACGCGCUAACCACCAAGCCACUGUGCAGCACGGAUCAUAAACAGCCUGUCAUAAUAAUAAUCUCUCUCUUUUUUGAGCUCAUUGAUUUGUGCAGGUCUCCUUAGGCAUGCUAGUCUGCAGUUGCCUUGGCCUCCCGGGGGGGACUUGUGUUUGCCCUUAUAAUUGGUUCCAUGGCCUGAAAACACCCACAGCCCUGUGUCCUCCGCCUAAGUAACACCUACUGGCGGACUGACCUGAGAGGUGGUGACCGGUGAGGUGUCCUCUUAUACUAAUAUCCAGUCCUAAUCUGUUGUUAUCAUGGAAUCUGACACUCAGCUUGGUGCAGUGUCUUCACCUCCGUUGCCCUCCCUGCACCUCCAGGUUUCGUUUACUUUCUUUAUGUAAUGUGUAUCAAGGUAAGAAGAUUUUUUGUAAUCCUUUUAAUUAUCUUUUUUUUUUUUUUUUUACGCAUGUAAAUGUAUUGAUAUAUGUGUGUUUUCCAGUGUUGUGUAACCAUUUAAAUCAUUAUCUGUGUACAGUGUAAUCUGGUUAAAUUCAAAACCAGCAGGUUAUAAUAAGCAGCCCAACAAGUUAUUAAAGCACUAAACAGAACCACAUGUCUGUCUGUCUGUCUGUCUGAAUUGGAGUAAUGACCUCUGGAUAUAGCACAUCUUUAUACCAACUACUCUGUGGGAGCGGUGAAUGUAUUUGCUGUUUUUAGCCUAUGGAGCUGUUUCUAAGGAAACUGUGGUCCAAUUUUUUAUUUAUUAUUUUUUUUCUGUUGUAAAAACAUGUCACCCAGUGUAACUCAGAAAUGAAAUAUUAAUAGUUUGUACAACAGUGGUGCUCCAUGGCACAGGCGAUAAAGUUA